GGAGAAUGGUCCUUCUGGAGACGGUACUGUUCAGCCACGUGCGGAGGGCAAGUCUUUGGUGUAGAGAACAGAACCCGAGAGUGUGUGACCCAGCCGUGCACGGGAGACUCGAGUGAACAGAGAAAUGCAACCUGCACCCUCAACCCGUGUACAGGAUGGGGAGAAUGGUCCUUCUGGAGACGGUACUGUUCAGCCACGUGCGGAGGGCAAGUCUUUGGUGUAGAGAACAGAACCCGAGAGUGUGUGACCCAGCCGUGCACGGGAGACUCGAGUGAACAGAGAAAUGCAACCUGCACCCUCAACCCGUGUACAGGAUGGGGAGAAUGGUCCUUCUGGAGACGGUACUGUUCAGCCACGUGCGGAGGGCAAGUCUUUGGUGUAGAGAACAGAACCCGAGAGUGUGUGACCCAGCCGUGCACGGGAGACUCGAGUGAACAGAGAAAUGCAACCUGCACCCUCAACCCGUGUACAGGAUGGGGAGAAUGGUCCUUCUGGAGACGGUACUGUUCAGCCACGUGCGGAGGGCAAGUCUUUGGUGUAGAGAACAGAACCCGAGAGUGUGUGACCCAG